GCUCCGGUAGCCUAGUAGUUAGAGCGUCCGUCUCGAAUCCGGGAGGUCGCGGGUUCGAAACCCGGUUGAGUCA